rnacentral:rRNA from 1 species
UACGUAGGGAGCAAGCGUUAUCCGGAUUUACUGGGUGUAAAGGGCGCGUAGGCGGGCCUGCAAGUCAGAAGUGAAAUCUGGGGGCUUAACCCCCAAACUGCUUUUGAAACUGUGGGUCUUGAGUGAUGGAGAGGCAGGCGGAAUUCCCAGUGUAGCGGUGAAAUGCGUAGAUAUUGGGAGGAACACCAGUGGCGAAGGCGGCCUGCUGGACAUUAACUGACGCUGAGGCGCGAAAGCGUGGGGAGCAAACAGG